AUCUGGCCUCAAAUCAGGUAGGACUACCCGCUGAACUUAAGCAUAUCAAUAAGCGGAGGAAAAGAAACUAACAAGGAUUCCCCUAGUAACGGCGAGUGAAGCGGGAAGAGCUCAAAUUUGAAAUCUGGUAGCCUUCGGUUGCCCGAGUUGUAAUCUAGAGAAGUGUUUUCCGUGCCGGCCCAUGUACAAGUCCCUUGGAACAGGGCGUCAUAGAGGGUGAGAAUCCCGUCCUUGACAUGGACCCCCGGUGCUUUGUGAUACACUUUCAACGAGUCGAGUUGUUUGGGAAUGCAGCUCAAAAUGGGUGGUGAAUUCCAUCUAAAGCUAAAUAUUGGCGAGAGACCGAUAGCGAACAAGUACCGUGAGGGAAAGAUGAAAAGCACUUUGGAAAGAGAGUUAAACAGUACGUGAAAUUGUUGAAAGGGAAACGAUUGAAGUCAGUCAUGCUCUUGGGACUUACCUCCCUUGAGUGGGGUCAACAUCAGUUUUGAUCGAUGGAUAAAGGCACGGGGAAGGUAGCACUCUCGGGUGAACUUAUAGCCUCGCGUCAUAUACAUUGAUUGGGACGGAGGAACGCAGCAUGC
rnacentral:rRNA from 1 species